CUGUCAUUUCAGCCUCCCUGACUGUUAGUCAUUAGAGCAAGAGUGAAAAAGAAUUAAUCUCCUGUCAUGUGUUUUACACAGCUUGUGAUUAAAAGCCAUAAAACCAUUAUAUCUACACUUUGAACAUUUACAUAGAGUUAUAUUUCAUGCAGAAGGGUGAAGGUUAUUGGAAUAACAGGCAUACCUUCAAGCACAAACAAAUGUAUUUACAAAACCAAGAAGAAAGGAACAGAUUACCAGUGAUGGGGAAAGAGUACGUAGGCAAUUGCUGCCCCAGUACUUUGAUACUUGUCUGCAAGCAUCACAUCCACCAAAAAAAUGAAAAUUGUGAAAGAAGAUUACUUUAAACAAGAGAAGAUAAACUGUAAAAACCAUAAAGUGAAGUGGUGUGGUUAGUGUGUGUGAUAAUAGAUUUAAA